rnacentral:tRNA from 1 species
GCCUCUGUGGCUUAGCAGCUAUAGCGAUUGCUUCGUAAGCAAUAGGUCAGGGGUGCAACUCCCCUCAGAGGCU